GCAGUGGGGAAUAUUGCACAAUGGGGGAAACCCUGAUGCAGCCAUGCCGCGUGUGUGAAGAAGGCCUUCGGGUUGUAAAGCACUUUCAGUAGGGAGGAAGGGUUGAUGUCUAAUACGCAUCAGCAUUGAAGUUACCUACAGAAGAAGCACCGGCUAACUCCGUGCCAGCAG
rnacentral:rRNA from 1 species